AACGAACGCUGGCGGCAGGCCUAACACAUGCAAGUCGAACGCCCGUAGCAAUACGGGAGUGGCAGACGGGAGAGUAACACGUGGGAACGUACCCUUCAGUUCGGGAUAACCCAGGGAAACUUGGGCUAAUACCGGAUACGUCCGUAAGGAGAAAGAUUUAUCGCUUAAGGAUCGGCCCGCGUGUGAUUAGCUAGUUGGUGAGGUAAUGGCUCACCAAGGCGACGAUCAGUAGCUGGUCUGAGAGGAUGACCAGCCUCACUGGGACUGAGACACGGCCCAGACUCCUACGGGAGGCAGCAGUGGGGAAUAUUGGACAAUGGGCGCAAGCCUGAUCCAGCCAUGCCGUGUGAGUGAUGAAGGCCCUAGGGUUGUAAAGCUCUUUCAGCGGGGAAGAUAAUGACGGUACCCGCAGAAGAAGCCCCGGCUAACUUCGUGCCAGCCGCCGCAGUAAAAC
rnacentral:rRNA from 1 species